GACGAACGCUGGCGGCGUGCCUAACACAUGCAAGUCGAGCGAGAAAGCCAUUUUCGGAUGGCGAGUAAAGCGGCGGACGGGUGAGUAACACGUGAACAACCUACCCUUGAGUCUGGGAUAACAGCGAGAAAUCGGUGCUAAUACCGGAUAAUCUCUUUUUACCGCAUGGUAGGGGGAGGAAAGGUUUACUGCUCAAGGAUGGGUUCGCGUCCCAUUAGCUAGUUGGUGGGGUAACGGCCUACCAAGGCGACGAUGGGUAGCCGGCCUGAGAGGGUGGACGGCCACACUGGGACUGAGACACGGCCCAGACUCCUACGGGAGGCAGCAGUGGGGAAUUUUGCGCAAUGGGGGAAACCCUGACGCAGCGACGCCGCGUGAGCGAAGAAGGUUUUCGGAUCGUAAAGCUCUGUCACAGGGGACGAUAGUGACGGUACCCUGGGAGGAAGCCCCGGCUAACUACGUG
rnacentral:rRNA from 1 species